GCCAGGGGCGGUGGGGCCGGCCUGUAAUCCCAGCCACUCAGGAGGCUGAGGCAGGAGGAUGGCAAGUUCGAGGCCAGCCUGGGCAACUCAGCAAGACCCUGCCUCAA
rnacentral:sRNA from 1 species